rnacentral:rRNA from 1 species
CCCCUAGAUGUUCUGGGCCGCACGCGCGCUACACUGAACAGUUCAACAAGUCUUAACCUUGGCCGAUAGGUCUGGGUAAUCUUUGAACGCUGUUCGUGAUUGGGAUAGACCUUUGCAAUUAUGGGUCUUCAACGAGGAAUUCCUAGUAAACGCAAGUCAUCAGCUUGCAUUGAUUACGUCCCUGCCCUUUGUACACACCGCCCGUCGCUCCUACCGAUUGAGUGAUCAGGUGAACUCUUUGGACACCGCCUCCCGGUGCGUGGAAGUUGAGUAAAUCUUAUUACUUAGAGGAAGGAGAAGUCGUAACA